AUACUGUGUGCCAGGCUGGUAUUGUUAUAUCUAUUGUGUGCCAGGCUGGUAUUUUUUAUAAAUACCGUGUGCCAGGCUGGUAUUGUUAUAAAUACUGGGGGCAGGCUGGUAUUGUUUUAUCUAUUGUGUGCCAGGAUGGUAUUGUUAUAUUUAUUGUGUGCCAGGCUGAUGUUGUUAUAAAUACUGUGUGCCAGGCUGGUAUUGUUAUAAAUAUUGUGUGUCAGGCUGGUAUUGUUAUAAAU